GGGUUAGGGUUGGGCUUGGAGCUAGGAUUUUUCUGAGUGCACUGAACCAACUCCCGAGUCUCUAGGACAUUCCUAAAAAAAUUGAUUUUUUCCCAUAGGAAUGCAUGGGUUAGGGUUAGGGUUAGGGUUGGAGCUAGGGUUAGGGUUAGGGUUAGGGUUGGAGUUAGGGUUAGUGUUGGAGCUAGGGUUAGGGUUGGGCUUGGAGCUAGGAUUUUUCUGAGUGCACUGAACCAACUCCCGAGUCUCUAGGACAUUCCUAAAAAAAUUUGAUUUUUUCCCAUAGGAAUGCAUGGGUUAGGGUUAGGGUUAGGGUUGGAGCUAGGGUUAGGGUUAGGGUUAGGGUUGGAGUUAGGGUUAGUGUUGGAGCUAGGGUUAGGGUUGGGCUUGGAGCUAGGAUUUUUCUGAGUGCACUGAACCAACUCCCGAGUCUCUAGGACGUUCCUAAAAAAAUUUGAUUUUUUCCCAUAGGAAUGCAUGGGUUAGGGUUAGGGUUAGGGUUGGAGCUAGGGUUAGGGUUAGGGUUAGGGUUGGAGUUAGGGUUAGUGUUGGAGCUAGGGUUAGGGUUGGGCUUGGAGCUAGGAUUUUUCUGAGUGCACUGAACCAACUCCCGAGUCUCUAGGACAUUCCUAAAAAAAAUUGAUUUUUUCCCAUAGGAAUGCAUGGGUUAGGGUUAGGGUUAGGGUUGGAGCUAGGGUUAGGGUUAGGGUUAGGGUUGGAGUUAGGGUUAGUGUUGGAGCUAGGGUUAGGGUUGGGCUUGGAGCUAGGAUUUUUCUGAGUGCACUGAACCAACUCCCGAGUCUCUAGGACGUUCCUAAAAAAAAUUGAUUUUUUUCCCAUAGGAAUGCAUGGGUUCGGGUUAUGGUUAGGGUUAGGGUUGGAGCUAGGGUUAGGGUUAGGGUUAGGGUUGGAGUUAGGGUUAGUGUUGGAGCUAGGGUUAGGGUUGGGCUUGGAGCUAGGAUUUUUCUGAGUGCAAUGAACCAACUCCCGAGUCUCUAGGAUGUUCCUAAAAAAAUUUGAUUUUUUCCCAUAGGAAUGCAUGGGUUAGGGUUAGGGUUAGGGUUGGAGCUAGGGUUAGGGUUAGGGUUAGGGUUGGAGUUAGGGUUAGUGUUGGAGCUAGGGUUAGGGUUGGGCUUGGAGCUAGGAUUUUUCUGAGUGCAAUGAACCAACUCCCGAGUCUCUAGGACGUUCCUAAA